rnacentral:rRNA from 1 species
UACAGAGGUCUCAAGCGUUGUUCGGAUUCAUUGGGCGUAAAGGGUGCGUAGGCGGCGCGGUAAGUCGGGUGUGAAAUUUCGAGGCUUAACUUCGAAACUGCAUUCGAUACUGCCGUGCUUGAGGACUGGAGAGGAGACUGGAAUUUACGGUGUAGCGGUGAAUGCGUAGAUAUCGUAAGGAAGACCAGUGGCGAAGGCGGGUCUCUGGACAGUUCCUGACGCUGAGGCACGAAGGCCAGGGGAGCAAACGGG